rnacentral:rRNA from 1 species
CACCGCGGUUAUACGAGAGACCCAAGUUGAUAAGCAACGGCGUAAAGAGUGGUUAAGGAAACCCCCACAAACUAAAGCCGAACACCCUCAAAGCUGUUAUACGCACCCGAGGGCAUGAAGCACCACCACGAAAGUGGCUUUAACUCUUCCUGAACCCACGAAAGCUAUGACA